GCCCCUGCCAAGCACGUGACAGUCUCCUCGGAGAAGCCAUAUCACGUGGUCAAUUAAGAGCCAGGGCUUUGGAGUAAGUCCCAGCCCUGCCCCUCGGCAGCAGAGAAAUGUCAACCCUGUAAAAGUGAGCCAUAAUAGGGCCUACAACCGCUGUCCUGCCCAGGAUACGACGAUCCAUGUUAGAGUGCAGUAGCGCAUUUCUUGGAACAGAGCGGAUUUUGAAUUACAACGAACUUCUGUUGCUGAUGAUGGGACAUAGCAGAGUCUAGAUAUACAUAAAACCAG
rnacentral:lncRNA from 1 species